UGGGGAAUAUUGCACAAUGGGCGCAAGCCUGAUGCAGCCAUGCCGCGUGUGUGAAGAAGGCCUUCGGGUUGUAAAGCACUUUCAGCGGGGAGGAAGGCGGUGAGGUUAAUAACCUCACCGAUUGACGUUACCGACAGAAGAAGCACCGGCUAACUCCGUGCCAGCAGCCGCGGUAAUACGGAGGGUGCAAGCGUUAAUCGGAAUUACUGGGCGUAAAGCGCACGCAGGCGGUUGAUUGAGUCAGAUGUGAAAUCCCCGGGCUUAACCCGGGAAUUGCAUCUGAUACUGGUCAGCUAGAGUCUUGUAGAGGGGGGUAGAAUUCCAUGUGUAGCGAUGAAAUGCGUAGAGAUGUGGAGGAAUACCGGUGGCGAAGGCGGCCCCCUGGACGAAGACUGACGCUCAGGUGCGAAAGCGUGGGGAGCAAACAGG
rnacentral:rRNA from 1 species